AGAGAAAUAUUACCUUCCAAACACUGAGUGCUUCCUGUCGAGGUAGGUGCACGACCUGAAUGUGAUGAAGCUGAGAGGAAGCAGAACACACAGUUAACAAAAACAGUACAACACCGUGACUAUCAGUGACGCCAAGGAUCAGGACGUGAGCAGAGCUGUAGACACUAGACAGCCGUCAUGGCAGCAAUGGUCAUCAUCAGACUCACCUCAUCUUGGUCCAGUACAUGCUGGACCUAAGUCCUCCACUCCAUAAGCAAAGUCAACAUGAACUAAGCAAGACAAUAAAAACCUCUUGACUA